GGACUACCGGGGUAUCUAAUCCUGUUUGCUCCCCACGCUUUCGUACCUCAGCGUCAGUAUCAGUCCAGCGAGUCGCCUUCGCCACUGGUGUUCCUCCGAAUAUCUACGAAUUUCACCUCUACACUCGGAAUUCCACUCGCCUCUCCUGAUCUCAAGACUUGCAGUCUAGAAGGCAGUUCCCAGGUUGAGCCUGGGGAUUUCACCCCCUACUUACAAAUCCGCCUACGUACGCUUUACGCCCAGUAAUUCCGAACAACGCUAGCCCCCUUCGUAUUACCGCGGCUGCUGGCAC
rnacentral:rRNA from 1 species